UUUGUUGGUUAAAAUAUUUAUUACCAACAAAAUUUUCACCAAUUAUACUAAGUAUUGGUAAAACAUUUCAUUUGCCCGCUUAUUUUUUCCCUCUUCCCGCUUUAGCACAAUUCCCAAAAGUUGAAAAACAAAACUCUUUAUUUUUUAAUAGGGUCCAGCAAUAUCAAGUACUGAGUUUAGGAAUUAAAAUUAAUUUCAUCCCGUAAAAAAAAAAAUUAAAAACGCGAGGAGUAGAAAUCUAGAACUAUCCUCUCGCCAUUUUCAUUUUCCUUGUCUAGAUCUCCAGGAAAAGACCUCGCCAUCCCCAUUUUCAUUUUCACCGAGCAAAACAUUCCACGGAGAAGCUCCUCUUCUGUUGAAGUAUGUAAACAAAGCUCACACAAGGUUCAAUUAAUUAGCUUAUUUCCGGUAGAAAUUACACAGCGGCGCAACCCGAUAUUCCGCCGCCCACCCCUCUACAGUAGAGAUCUCGCUCGGUUUUUUUCCUGAUCGGUGCUUGACUUGGUUUAUCUUAAUUUAAAAGUCUCAGGGCUAACGGGAUGUUGAUCAGCCUGCAUAUGUCUUUGCUGGAUUCCUGGGAAUGAAACAUGACGAGCUGCUUAUAAAAUUAUGAAGCCUGGUGAUUGCUGCAAUAAUAGUUGUAAUUGUUAUUGGCUGUCUUUCUGCAACAUUCUUUUGCAAGGCUGAUCUGUUGAAACUCAGUGUACUGCGUGCAGCAAGGCUACAUUCUUGAGAGUGCAUAUAAGUCUAAGCAUAUAAUUUGUUCAUAUCUAUUAAUCUAUCAUAUGCACAAGGUAUGCGUGGCCAAAUUGGUGAGCUGGAUGCGAUUAAACUGUCAGUGUAAUAAAGAUUUACAAUGUACAAGGUUUUGCAUUGUUGGCUGUGGCCAUAUAUGUAAUGAACAAGUACAUAUUCAUAUAUGGAACUUGCUUUCACAUAUUUUUAUGUAAGCAACUAUUAAUUUGUAUUAUCCGAUUAUAAAAUAUAGGAAAAAUUGAUAUUGACA